rnacentral:misc_RNA from 1 species
GAUCAGAGCUGCAAAAUAACAUCAGAUAACAUUGAUUAUUGGAUACUAUAUAAACUGUUCAAAAUAGUCAUGUACAGAAAAAGCUAUGUCUAGUUGGUUUAUUGGCACCGCAGUAGGACAUUUUGAAACAUUAAGCUACUGCUCACUCUUUUUCAUACUGCAUGAGGUAUUCUAAAAUUGUAAUUAAUGUGAUGUUGAUUUUUGGACACUAAGGCGUCAUUUUGUCAAAUCUGUAUUUUCAUGAAUCAAAGACAAUGGUGUAAGUCAAAUCUGUAUUUUCAUGAAUCAAAGACAAUGGUGUAAGUGUUAAUAAAAUCAUGUGAUGUUGUGCAUAUGUGC